rnacentral:rRNA from 1 species
GAGUUUGAUUAUGGCUCAGAACGAACGCUGGCGGCGCGUCUUAACCAUGCAAGUCGAGCGGCAGGCAGCAAUGCCGAGAGCGGCGAACUGGUGAGUAACACGUGGAUAACGUACCCCGAUGUCUGGGACAGCCUGUAGAAAUAGAGGGUAAUACCGGAUAGAUCACUGUUUACGUGAGGUAGACGGCGGGAAAGGAGCUUCGGCUCCGCGUCGGGAACGGUCUGCGGCCCAUCAGCUAGACGGCGGGGUAAGUGCCCGCCGUGGCGAGGACGGGUAUCCGGCCUGAGAGGGCGGACGGACACAUUGGGACUGAGAUACGGCCCAGACUCCUACGGGAGGCAGCAGGUAAGAAUAUUCCGCAAUGGGGGGAACCCUGACGGAGCGACGCCGCGUGAACGAAGAAGGCCGGAAGGUUGUAAAGUUCUUUUCUGUUCGAGGAAUAAGUGUAGGAGGAAAUGCCUACAUGGUGACGG